CACCACUCAAGCCUCGCUUGGUAUUGGGCGACGCGGUACGCCGCGCGCCUCAAAUCUUUCGGCUGGGUCUGAAUCGUCCCUCAGCGUUGUGGAAACUAUUCGCUAAAGGUGCGCGUUUCGGUCACGCCGUUAAACAAACCAAUUUCAUUAAA
rnacentral:misc_RNA from 1 species